rnacentral:rRNA from 1 species
UACGGGGGGGGCAAGCGUUGUUCGGAAUUACUGGGCGUAAAGGGCUCGUAGGCGGCCAACUAAGUCGGAUGUGAAAUCCCCGGGCUUAACCUGGGAACUGCAUCCGAUACUGGAUGGCUUGAAUCCGGGAGAGGGAUGCAGAAUUCCAGGUGUAGCGAUGAAAUGCGUAGAUAUCUGGAGGAACAUCCGUGGCGAAGGCGGCUCUCUGGUACGGUAUUGACGCUGAGACGCGAAAGCGUGGGGAGCGAACAGG